AACGUUUAAAAAAUGCACAAAACCACCUCGCUCCACCAAACAACCCACACCAAUUUAUUCGUCGUAGCCUGCGCGCGGCUCCAAUCGGACGCCCCUUCUUGGCUGGAGAUGCUAGCAACAUUAGCCUGCUAGCUCACUUCAGACUCCACUAUUUGUUGUCACUACACAUCGUCUUUUGUGUACGCUGCAUCCAUCCACCGGGAAACAGCCGCCUCAAAUUUGUGCUGGGAUGUCCUGGAGACCCUGCUCCCCCUCCACCAUGUCCUUGCUCAGCAGACCUUGCUGACCUGAAUACCACAGACUUGAACAGGGGGUCCCUGAUUCUCAACCAGCAACACAUGAAUGCACAUGCAUAGAUUGUGUCAAUGCAUGUCUUGGUUAUUUAUUUUAACGAGUGACAAAAGUGCAUAAAGACACAUUUCCCUUGCUCUCAAUAUAAAGUGAGAGAUGAAGACAGAGGGAAUCAUUAGAAAUGGUAAGCUGAGUCACAUUCUGACCAAGUAGACUCAACGACUAGUAUCCUGAAAACUAAAUGAAAAAGAAAAGAAAGGAACUGCAGAGCACCUGUAGCCUAUUCUUUAGUCACGUGGACACAUACACUUAUUUAUUAAACUUAUGUAAACCAUAUAUCUGUUCUAUUUUUUAGCAUCUGGUCUAUUUAUUGUAGGCCUACUUCAUUUUACUUUUACCAUUUUUAUUUAUUUACUGUAUCUAAUAUAUUAGGCUACUAGGCCUAUGUUUGAAUGUUUUAAUAUAUUAUUGAAAUAUGUCGCAGUAAAGCUUUGUUCAAUGUGAUUGAGAAGACGUGAGAAUAAGAUCACUAUGUCUUGAAACAAUGUCUAACU